GGUGGUUCUCAGGUGAUGCACCCCAGAAUCCAGCUCCCUCCUCUCUGGUUCCGGGUUCGUCACCUGAGAACCACA
rfam:Myotis davidii contig134518, whole genome shotgun sequence.